rnacentral:rRNA from 1 species
GUGGGGAAUAUUGCGCAAUGGGCGAAAGCCUGACGCAGCCAUGCCGCGUGUGUGAAGAAGGCCUUCGGGUUGUAAAGCACUUUCAAUUGGGAAGAAAGGUUGCGUGUUAAUAGCACGUAGCUGUGACGUUACCUUUAGAAGAAGCACCGGCUAACUCCGUGCCAGCAGCCGCGGUAAUACGGAGGGUGCGAGCGUUAAUCGGAAUUACUGGGCGUAAAGCGCGCGUAGGCGGUUUGUUAAGUCGGAUGUGAAAUCCCCGGGCUCAACCUGGGAAUGGCAUUCGAUACUGGCCGACUAGAGUACGAGAGAGGGAGGUAGAAUUCCACGUGUAGCGGUGAAAUGCGUAGAUAUGUGGAGGAAUACCGGUGGCGAAGGCGGCCUCCUGGCUCGAUACUGACGCUGAGGUGCGAAAGCGUGGGUAGCAAACAGGAUUAGAAACCCGAGUAGUCC